rnacentral:tRNA from 1 species
AGUCAAUUCCUGGGGACAGUUUGUCUUGAAAACAAACUCAAAGUGUUCAAUUCACUUCUUGACUU